rnacentral:tRNA from 1 species
UCCUGGUUAGCGCCGUUGGUAGCGCACUCCACUGCGUAUGGAGAGGCCCCUGGUUCGACACCAGCACCAGGCG